rnacentral:lncRNA from 1 species
UAAGAACAAAGGAAACACAAGAGUGUGAACAGGAAAUGAAGCAACUCUACACCCAUAAAUACCUUCUGGGGCCGCCAACAUAGUCGGAGGGGACUAGAUGGAGCCGAAGGGGCCGGAGAUGGGCCGAGCGCUGCCCCCCGGGGGUCCUCAGCGCCGGGCGCAGCUUACGAGCGCAGCGCAGCGCAGCAGGCUCCAUUCCCGGCCGUCGCCGCUCAGCCCAUUACGCAAACCUGGCGGGUCCAACCAACCCCGCUCUGCCGCCGCUGCUGGAACCCAGGAGGCGUGCUUGCAGGCUUCGGGCACUACGCGGGGCUGGAAAUACCACGCACUGCCCCUUCGCCUAGACCCCCGCUCGGGCCACGCGGGUUCUGCCCUCAAAGCUGGUAGCUGCCCCAGACUUGGGGGUGGGGGGAGGGGAAGGGGCGAGGCUGGCGCCCCCUCCCGCUUUUGGCUCCCGCGUUCGUUGCAGCAGCUGUUGCCAAAUGAACCCCGGAAUGCGGACGUGCAAACCCUCCACCCCACCCCCAGCCACACACGUCGCGGUCAGAGAACUGGGAAGGGGGCGCUGGGUCCGAGGUUCUGGAAAAGCAAGAACUCACCUGCAAACAGGCAGUCCUCAGCUCUGGACUUCUGGAUCACGACGUCGAUAUCCUUCUGAAUUCGGUCUUGCCUUGAACACAUCCCCAUUAAAUAAAUCCCUGGAAAAGAAGCAGCCGCUAUUUCCACCCCACCCCCCUCGCACGCUUUCAGCUUUCGUAAAUAUUCAGUUAAAAAUGAAACCUCUGGCCGAGGCAGGGGCUGAAGGCCAAGUGGUUUCGGAAGUGAUCCUGGGUGAGAGGAGGAGGAGGAGGAGGUGGUGGAGGAGGAGGGGGAGGUCGGCUUUCCAUUUCCAGAUGUGACCGCCCAGCUGCUGCUCGCCGCUGCUGGAUUCCAAUUUCCUCCCCUUCUGGCGAUGGAUUGGUGAUGACCCCGAGUCUCACUUUCUCCUUCCCCCGCCCGGACCAACCGCCGUG